rnacentral:misc_RNA from 1 species
GUGCACAUACGGUAAAGUUGGUAACGCUGUUGAGCAGGUUAACACCCUCACCGGCGAACGUUAUGUGCAUCGUGACCUUUCUUACUUGUGGGAUUCGAAGUCCAAGGUGGUGCGCACUUCGGUGGGUGCUUAUACUUGGACGUUCCAUAUGGUGAGUGUCGACACUUGGAUCAUCGAGUUGACGGGUUGUCCAGUCAACAUGGAUGAAAGGUUCGCAAAACGGGUACCGGUGCUUGGAUUGGUUGGUGCUUGUGACGAGAUGAACACUCAUGACGUCACGCCAACCAAAUUCCCGCAUCCUUCGCUUGCGGCAUUGCCUUCAGCUUCGUGUGUCAUGGCCGCUGGUGUUCCAUUGAUUAAGUUUGAUGGAGGCCAGUUGCCUGACUGCCAGUUGACGUGUCCCCCUCUGUUUGAGUUUUUGGCCAGUAACAUGGUUGGAAAACCCAGAGACGCGGACCGUCUCGAUGACCUGUUCUCUUUGGCACGUUCGCACGUGUCAAAUGGGCAGGAAUUCCCUGGUAAGCGAAACUUUGAUGUGCCGCACCACGAAAUAGCUGC